AGUGAACGCUGGCGGUAGGCCUAACACAUGCAAGUCGAACGGCAGCACAGUAAGGGCUUGCUCUUACGGGUGGCGAGUGGCGGACGGGUGCGGAAUACAUCGGAAUCUACUUUUUCGUGGGGGGUAACGUAGGGAAACUUACGCUAAUACCGCAUACGACCUACGGGUGAACGCAGGGGAUCUUCGGACCUUGCGCGAUUGGAUGAGCCGAUGUCGGAUUAGCUAGUUGGCGGGGUAAAGGCCCACCAAGGCGACGAUCCGUAGCUGGUCUGAGAGGAUGACCAGCCACACUGGAACUGAGACACGGUCCAGACUCCUACGGGAGGCAGCAGUGGGGAAUAUUGGACAAUGGGCGCAAGCCUGAUCCAGCCAUACCGCGUGCGUGAAGAAGGCCUUCGGGUUGUAAAGCCCUUUUGUUGGGAAAGAAAAGCAGCUGGUUAAUACCCCGCUGUGCUGACGGUACCGAAAGAAUAAGCACCGGCUAACUUCGUG
rnacentral:rRNA from 1 species